rnacentral:rRNA from 1 species
AUUGAACGCUGGCGGCAGGCCUAACACAUGCAAGUCGAACGGUAACAGGAAGAAGCUUGCUUCUUUGCUGACGAGUGGCGGACGGGUGAGUAAUGUCUGGGAAACUGCCUGAUGGAGGGGGAUAACUACUGGAAACGGUAGCUAAUGCCGCAUAACGUCGCAAGACCAAAAAGGGGGACCUUCGGGCCUCUUGCCAUCGGAUGUGCCCAGAUGGGAUUAGCUAGUAGGUGGGGUAACGGCUCACCUAGGCGACGAUCCCUAGCUGGUCUGAGAGGAUGACCAGCCACACUGGAACUGAGACACGGUCCAGACUCCUACGGGAGGCAGCAGUGGGGAAUAUUGCACAAUGGGCGCAAGCCUGAUGCAGCCAUGCCGCGUGUAUGAAGAAGGCCUUCGGGUUGUAAAGUACUUUCAGCGGGGAGGAAGGGAGUAAAGUUAAUACCUUUGCUCAUUGACGUUACCCGCAGAAGAAGCACCGGCUAACUCCGUG